rnacentral:rRNA from 1 species
AUUGAACGCUGGCGGCAGGCUUAACACAUGCAAGUCGAACGAGAUCUUCGGAUCUAGUGGCAGACGGGUGAGGAACACGUGGGAACAUCCCUUUCAGUUCGGAAUAACGUUGGGAAACUAACGCUAAUACCGGAUACGUCCUUCGGGAGAAAGAUUUAUCGCUGAAAGAUUGGCCCGCGUCUGAUUAGCUAGUUGGUGAGGUAAUGGCUCACCAAGGCUACGAUCAGUAGCUGAUCUGAGAGGAUGAUCAGCCACAUUGGGACUGAGACACGGCCCAAACUCCUACGGGAGGCAGCGGUGGGGAAUAUUGGACAAUGGGCGCAAGCCUGAUCCAGCCAUGCCGCGUGAGUGAUGACGGCCUUCGGGUUGUAAAGCUCUUUUGUCCGGGAAGAUAAUGACUGUACCGGAAGAAUAAGCCCCGGCAAACUUCGUGCCAGCAGCCGCCGUAAGAC